rnacentral:rRNA from 1 species
UACGUAGGGGGCAAGCGUUGUCCGGAUUUAUUGGGCGUAAAGAGCGUGUAGGCGGUCAGGUAGGUCCGUUGUGAAAACUCGAGGCUCAACCUCGAGACGCCGAUGGAAACCAUCUGACUAGAGUCCGGAAGAGGGAAGCGGAAUUUCCGGUGUAGCGGUGAAAUGCGUAGAUAUCGGAAGGAACACCAGUGGCGAAAGCGGCUUCCUGGUCCAGCACCGACGUUCAGGCACGAAAGCGUGGGGAGCAAACAGG